CUGAGCAGCCACAUCACAGUCCAGGAGGUGCCGCUUCCACAUUUUGUGCUGCUACAUGUAUGCCGUGCUCUACAUGGGUCACAGGGGGAUUCUGCCUUGGAAGCAAAGCAACAGUAAAGAGUGCUCAAUCAAUUGGUGAAUAUUGAUGGAAGGAGGAGGCUUCGAAUUCCUCUGGCUUAUUUGAAAGCCACUUGUAACACUUCCCCAGCAGGAGCAAACAAUAAAACACUGAGAAGUACAAAGGAAUAAUGCUAUGAACGUUUCAGUAAUAAUGACAACAGGUACAGCAACCAAUUACAAGGAGGCAAAGUGCUGAUGAACUGGAAGAAAAUCUAUUUUGGGAUCAAAGAGCUCCUUCCACCAAGGGAAGCAGAACCCCUGAAUCAACAGGCACCUGGAUUGUGUAGACAAGAUAAAAUCGAAACAGGCUGGUUUUCAGCUUGUGGAUUGUGGGUCUGUAUAUAUCCUCCAAGCGGCUGAAGAGCCGACGCUCCAAGUAGCUCCAAUAAUCCCGAAGGGCAGCCAAGUCAUACACCUGCAUUAACUGCUGCAGCUGGUCCACAAUCUUAUCCACCUGGCGAGAAACAUGGAUGGAGAAGGUGGUAAGGGACAGAAGGGAAUUCUCCCCUCCAUGGAAUAAAGCUUUUUCCUCUUGU
rnacentral:lncRNA from 1 species